GACAGAGGGUGCAAACGUUGUUCGGAAUUACUGGGCGUAAAGCGAGUGUAGGCGGUUUGGUAAGUCGGAUGUGAAAGCCCUGGGCUCAACCCAGGAAGUGCAUUCGAUACUGGUCAAGCUAGAGUAUCGGAGAGGUUGGGUGGAAUUCUCUCGGUGUAGAGGUGAAAUUCGUAGAUAUCGAGAGGAACACCGGUGGCGAAGGCGGCCAACUGGACGAAUACUGACGCUGAGACUCGGAAAGCGUGGGGAGCAAACACGG
rnacentral:rRNA from 1 species